rnacentral:lncRNA from 1 species
UCUAUAUUUGUUUUUCUUGUAGGUGCUAUCCAUAACUAACACAAUCGGAAAAAUAUUCAACAACUUAAUUGAAUCAGGAUGGGCCCAAAAUAUCUCUCUCACAACUUCCGAGUCAUCCUUUUUUCUACUCCAAUAGACAUAGCCUGCAUCCUCAAUAAGCUUAAACAGAUGUUGUAUCUCACUUCUAGGACCUCUUAUCUCUUUUUGUAUCACACUCUUAUGCUUGUAUACUUGCGUAAUCCGAGUGACAUUCUCAG